AUUGAACGCUGGCGGAAUGCUUUACACAUGCAAGUCGAACGGCAGCACGGGGGCAACCCUGGUGGCGAGUGGCGAACGGGUGAGUAAUACAUCGGAACGUGCCCGGUCGUGGGGGAUAACGUAGCGAAAGUUGCGCUAAUACCGCAUACGAUCUGAGGAUGAAAGCGGGGGACCUUCGGGCCUCGCGCGAUCGGAGCGGCCGAUGUCAGAUUAGGUAGUUGGUGGGGUAAAGGCCUACCAAGCCGACGAUCUGUAGCUGGUCUGAGAGGACGACCAGCCACACUGGGACUGAGACACGGCCCAGACUCCUACGGGAGGCAGCAGUGGGGAAUUUUGGACAAUGGGCGCGAGCCUGAUCCAGCCAUUCCGCGUGCAGGACGAAGGCCUUCGGGUUGUAAACUGCUUUUGUAUGGAACGAAAAGGCUCUGGCUAAUACCUGGGGCUCAUGACGGUACCGUAAGAAUAAGCACCGGCUAACUACGUG
rnacentral:rRNA from 1 species